AUAAUGUAUUAAACAUCUACUUUAUGCCAGGUAGUUAAUAUCUGUUGUCUCUAAUUUGCAGAAAAACCCUGAAAGGUAGAUACUAUUUUCAGAGAUAAUUGAUUCUUAGCAGGGUUAAGUAACUCAUAAGAAAUUAUUCAUUAGAUAAAUGGCUGUUAUAUGUAUUUAAUUCUAGAUUUGCCUAAAUUUGUAUUAGGCAAUAUAAUUGCCUAAUUUAUUCUACGAAAAUAUUAUAUGUUCUUUCCACUAAAAAUACUGCUACUCUGAAAACAAUUUUUUGUUGUAGAAGACUCUGUGGUCUAAUCAAAGUUUGGGAUCUCCCUGAAGAAAGAAUAUGUUAACAGAUUCUUUCUAAUAUAAAGAAUAUGUUUCCUGGAUAAAAUAUAUGAAUCUCGAAAAUGUUCAGACAGACAAAAUUAAUCUAGUCAUGCCUUUAUUCAACUCUCUUUAGGGUAUGGAAAUAAUAUAUCUAGUGUACAGGAGUUUUUCUUUCCCUAGGUAAGAGUUAUUAUUGUUGUUUCACUUUGCGUGUCUGAUUUUGUGGUAUGGAAGUAUUUUGUCAAGUCUUAACAGUUCCUGGACAAAAUGUCCCUAAUCAUAUUUCAUAAUUCUUGCAUGCCAUGGAAUCAGCAGGUUUAUAAUUUGGUUUCCUAGAUACCUUGACAGCAGGAGGGGGUGACCUAGAAAAAGGAAAUGAGUGCUUUAGUCACCAGCUGUCACACAUUUGAUCAUAAGUGAACAAUUAGGAUUCUGUUUGAGUCAUCAAUGGCUUGUGAAUGUAUUUGGUGAGUGAGAUUUUGAGGUGUCUACUCAUCUGAGGCUACAUUGAUGACAUAGUUUCUGCACCUACAAGGAUGAGGGUCAGCAUGUGGUAACAGAGAUUUCAUGUAAACAAGACCCCCUGCAAUAUUUUCUAUGAAAUCUCCUUUGCUUCAGCAUCUAGAUUUGUGCUGCUAUAACCUGACACCUGCCUUACUAUACUACCCUGGGCUUCCCUGAAGCCCUAGUGUGGGACACCUGUGGAAUCCACAUAGGACAGACACAUAUGGACCUGGAUGUGUGAGGAGAAGGAGCAGUAGCUUCCUGAUCUUCUAGCGACCACAAUGGUAAUAUGAUCUUCAGCUCCAUAGUUCCAGAGGCAGCCUCCUGAUUUCCUAACAUCUGAUGGUGCCAGAGGUAACAACAGCUCACUUGGGGAGUAGUUCUAUGAUGUUUGGGGAAUUAAUCGAGUGGGUCUGAAACCCACUCCUCUAAUGUCUUUAACAAC
rnacentral:lncRNA from 1 species